rfam:Anaplasma marginale str. Florida, complete genome.
GUGCUUGACUUCCGCGCCCAUUGGUAAUACAAUCUGCCCGUGGUUUCACUAUGGCAAUAAAGGCCUCUUGGAAUAGGCGUUUUGGACCCGAGGGCAGUGCUCGGCAUCUCCACUGUUGCUUUGUAUGGGGAUGAAACAGGAUAGACAGACGCAAUAAAGAGGACGGCGUUUGCUCGGUGGGAAUUCCAGCCGUAUAAGUGGGUCAUUUUUAUAAGUGCAAACGAUGAUUUCGUUGCCGCUAAUGAUAACAUGGAAACAGCUUUCGUAGCUGCUGCCUAGUUUUUGUCUUUAGCGCGGUUUUGGGGGCUUACCGGGCAACAGAAAAGCCCCCGC